CCUCCUUUCCAACACAAACAGUAUUUUGUUGUUUUUUCUUUCCAAGAUACAGUCGUUGCCGAAACUUCCUCCUACGAAGCAACCUCCUCUGAGACCCUACCUCCUCCGAAGAAGCGACCUCUUCCGAGGACCCUACCACCGACGACGACCACCAUCUUGCCGUCAUGACCCUACCUCUGACGAUGACCACCAUCCUGCCGUCACGACCAUACCUCCAACAACGACCACCCUUCUGCCGUCACCACCCUUCGACCUUCGACCUUCUCAGCAACUUUUCUCUUCGCGUUUGUGAAUCUCAAGUCAGGAUUAUCUACAAAUGCUCGCGUGUCUUUGAGGUAUUGAGGCGUAUUUGGAGCAUGGGCAAUAAAGUGUCGAAGACACGACUUCAAACGCGCGAUUUUGAGCAACAGAAUCAAUUCAUCAAAGAAUAAGGCUUAAAAUAAGGAUGAUAAAAAUCAUCAAUUUGGUUGCCAUUUUGUCAUUUUUAGAUAGAGUAUUGAAUAAAAUUUUCAACUCUUCGAACCGGGCGCAAUUCGGAGUUACGGUUCUCAAGUUAUAGCAGUCAUACCCCAAUUUUUGACCUAAGAUACCACCUCAUAUCAUCUGCAUAUGCAUCAUUUGCAUCUCUAACAAAUUGCAUAGUUUGUGUUUGCUACUUGUGACUCAGCAGGAUUAAAUAAAGAAAUCACUCAUCAGUACAAGUAACAAUCAAUUAGGGUUUUGUUCUCCCUUCAUCUCAAAAGAAUUAUCUUCAUAAACAAUCGACAUUUGGUCCUCAAAGAUUCAUUUCAACAAGCUCAGGGACUUUGAAUCAACCGGAUUAUGGUUUUGACUGAAGACAGUAUACUCCUGACCUUUGCUCAGGAUUUGACCUAAUGACUUGGGACGUGACCUCAAGACCCCAAGUACAUCAUUUUGACCUAAUCCAUUGGCUCAGGACAUCUCCUACAUAAGGAUUGAUCAACAGUGGAAUUUCAAAUCAUUAGAUUAGGGUUUUGAGCUAUCAGGGACUAAAAUCAGGGAUCACAUUUGGGAAACCCUAAAAAUCCCCAGGAAGUCACUUAAAGGUUUCAAUCAUCUUCAAAUAAUCCUCAUGGCAAUAUCCAAUUGAAAUUACAUCUCAAUUCAAGAUCCACAGUCAUCAAUUUCAUCAGGUUGACAAUUAGGGUUUUUGACCCAAUUCACCUGAACCAUUGACUUUUUAAUCAGAACAUGGUGCCACAACUUAAACAAUGGCUCAAGGUCCUCCAAUAACUCAAUACUAUCCAUUCAUACCAUUCAUUUGGUAAGGAUAGCCUGGUUCAUUUGAAAUCUCCAAAAACGCGAUCCGUCUGAAAAAGUCAACUGUAAAAGAUCACCUUGACUUUUUGGAAUUUUGGUCAACCAUGACUUUUGAAGUUUCAAAUCAUCAAUAUAUGAUAUAUGAAGUCAUUUGAUCAAGAAAAAUCAAGAAAAUCAAUCAAGAAUCAAAAAGUCAAAAGUUUGACUUUCCAUACUUAGA